rnacentral:rRNA from 1 species
GUCGAGCGAAGCACUUUGUUUUGAAUCUUCGGAGGAAGAACGAAGUGACUGAGCGGCGGACGGGUGAGUAACGCGUGGGCAACCUGCCUCAUACAGGGGGAUAACAGUUAGAAAUGACUGCUAAUACCGCAUAAGACCACGGUACUGCAUGGUACAGUGGUAAAAACUCCGGUGGUAUGAGAUGGGCCCGCGUCUGAUUAGCUAGUUGGUGAGGUAACGGCUCACCAAGGCAACGAUCAGUAGCCGACCUGAGAGGGUGACCGGCCACAUUGGGACUGAGACACGGCCCAAACUCCUACGGGAGGCAGCAGUGGGGAAUAUUGCACAAUGGGGGAAACCCUGAUGCAGCGACGCCGCGUGAGCGAUGAAGUAUUUCGGUAUGUAAAGCUCUAUCAGCAGGGAAGAAAAUGACGGUACCUGACUAAGAAGCCCCGGCUAACUACGUGCCAGCAGCCGCGGUAAUACGUAGGGGGCAAGCGUUAUCCGGAUUUACUGGGUGUAAAGGGAGCGUAGACGGCGAUGCAAGCCAGAUGUGAAAGCCCGGGGCUCAACCCCGGGACUGCAUUUGGAACUGUAUAGCUAGAGUGUCGGAGAGGCAGGCGGAAUUCCUAGUGUAGCGGUGAAAUGC